AGCCAAAGCUCCUCUGAACCCUACCUGGGGCUCUCCCACAAAGAUGCCUCCUGGAUUCCAGCUCCUCCCGUCAAAGUUCAAGGCCUGGGAAAUGUGGCCUUCAAGGACAAAAAUAAUCCCCUGCGGGGAUAGGGCAAAAAUGAACCCCGAAGGGAGCUUGGGGGGCCGCCUGGACUUGCCCACCAGUGAGGGCCGAGACUUUCCUCUGAGAAGGAGUUUGCGACGCUAUGCUUGGAAGGCAUGCCAAGAAAGCUCUAGAAGUUUUGCUCAACAGUGACCACUAAUUCUCAUAAUAUACAAAGUGUAGUUUUUCUGAACAGUAACUCAAGCAGCAAGCUAAUAACAUCAAUCAUAUGUGAUCAUGACUUUGCACUGGAGAUAACUGUCCUUGAACUAAGAACAAUGAAAAACCCCUGAAGCAAAUUUCUCUUUUAAACUAAAAAGAUGCUAAUUUAUGUAACCCCCACAAUAAGCUGACAUUAACUGCUUAAAUGAAUGAGAUUUUACUUCAAUUUUUAAACAGCACUCAAAGCAAUUACCUUUCUCACU
rnacentral:lncRNA from 1 species